UUUUCGUAAAUGCAUUUCAGAGAAAAGUGAAUUCUGAGAUUUGAAUAAUGCAUCUGACGUGUGUGUGAUGACGUCACGACGCACGUAUUUUGAUUUUUACCAGUCGUUCAAGACGGACGGAUUCAGUCCCAAGAAGCUAAAGUUUUUCAAAGACAUUUGUAGGGAGGACUUUGCAGCUAAUGAUUUCCUUAGGCUGAACCAAAACCUGCCAGACUAAAGUUGAUUUGGGAGAGAAAGACGUUGUAAACUCAAUCAUCUUGACAUUCUUCAAUGAGUAAUUGUUCAAUUUUUAGGCAAAUACUGUACACUUUGAAUGCUGUGAAUAAAACUAUAUUUUAAAUAUAUUUAAAAUGAA